rnacentral:rRNA from 1 species
AACAGGAUUAGAUACCCUGGUAGUCCACGCCCUAAACGAUGUCUACUAGUUGUCGGGUUUUAAUUAACUUGGUAACGCAGCUAACGCGUGAAGUAGACCGCCUGGGGAGUACGGUCGCAAGAUUAAAACUCAAAGGAAUUGACGGGGACCCGCACAAGCGGUGGAUGAUGUGGAUUAAUUCGAUGCAACGCGAAAAACCUUACCUACCCUUGACAUGUCAGGAAUCCCGAAGAGAUUUGGGAGUGCUCGAAAGAGAACCUGAACACAGGUGCUGCAUGGCUGUCGUCAGCUCGUGUCGUGAGAUGUUGGGUUAAGUCCCGCAACGAGCGCAACCCUUGUCAUUAGUUGCUACGCAAGAGCACUCUAAUGAGACUGCCGGUGACAAACCGGAGGAAGGUGGGGAUGACGUCAAGUCCUCAUGGCCCUUAUGGGUAGGGCUUCACACGUCAUACAAUGGUACAUACAGAGGGCCGCCAACCCGCGAGGGGGAGCUAAUCCCAGAAAGUGUAUCGUAGUCCGGAUUGUAGUCUGCAACUCGACUACAUGAAGUUGGAAUCGCUAGUAAUCGCGGAUCAGCAUGUCGCGGUGAAUACGUUCCCGGGUCUUGUACACACCGCCCGUCACACCAUGGGAGCGGGUUUUACCAGAAGUAGGUAGCUUAACCGCAAGGAGGGCGCUUACCACGGUAGGAUUCGUGACUGGGGUGAAGUCGUAACAAGGUAACC